rnacentral:rRNA from 1 species
CUGCUGCCUUCCGUAGGAGUUUGGGCCGUGUCUCAGUCCCAAUGUGGCCGUCCACCCUCUCAGGCCGGCUACUGAUCGCCGCCUUGGUGGGCCGUUACCCCGCCAACAAGCUAAUCAGACGCGGGUCCAUCUUACACCACCGGAGUUUUUCACACAAAUCCAUGCGGCUUCGUGCGCUUAUGCGGUAUUAGCACCUAUUUCUAAGUGUUAUCCCCCAGUGUAAGGCAGGUUACCCACGCGUUACUCACCCGUCCGCCACUAAGA